UACGUAGGGUGCGAGCGUUAAUCGGAAUUACUGGGCGUAAAGUGUGCGCAGGCGGCCAUGCAAGUCGAGUGUGAAAGCCCCGGGCUUAACUUGGGAAUUGCGCUCGAAACUACGUGGCUGGAGUGUGGCAGAGGAAGGUGGAAUUCCACGUGUAGCGGUGAAAUGCUUAGAUAUGACAUAGAACACCAAUUGCGAAGGCAGCUUACUACCCGAAUAUUGACACUGAGGCACGAAAGCGUGGGGAUCAAACAGG
rnacentral:rRNA from 1 species